CCUAUUUUAAAUCUUUGCAAAAAAAUUUUAUGCUAAAAAAAAUUAAAGCCUUAAGUUAAACUCUAAUCUAUAUGCUUUUUAAAGUUCCUCUCAACUGAAAAUUCCGUGAUCAAGUCCUAUUUAGGUCACUUUGACAAUAACCUCUAUGGUAGAGCCCUUAAAAUUAUUUCCAAAGUUUAAAACAAAAUAAUAAGAGGGAAGGCAGAAUUUUUAAAAAUUGCAUAUACAAGUAUUCAAAGUAUGUUUAAAAAAAAGUCAGGGGUGCCUGGAUGGCUCAAUUGGUUAAGCAUCUACCUUGGGCUCAGGUCACGAUCCUGUAGUCCGGGGAUCGAGCCCCCAUGUCGCGCUCUCUGCGUAGGGGGGGGAUGUCUGCUAAUAAAAGACUAAAGGGAAAUUUACAAAAACAUUAAUUUCUAGCCGGGUGGGAUGAUAUGGAAAGUAUGCUAUUUCAUCUUCUUCGCUUUUUCAAGUUUUUUUUACAGUGAGAAUAUAUUACUUUUAUAUCAGGGAAAAAAACACCAUACCAAACUUGUUUCUAAUGACUAUGAAACUAGGUUCAUUAUCUUCCUUCCAGAUAUGGCAAUGAUUUCUUAGCUCUUCUCCUUAAAUCUAAUCUCUCCAUUCAGCAAAUCACAUAGCAUCUAAAUAGGAAAUGAAUCUUUCUUAAAUACCCAUAUGCUGUUUAUAUAAGUCUCUAUUUUUCUUUUACUUAAACAUGUUUAGUACUGUAUUAUCCCUACAGAUCAAGUCUCAACUUCUUCAGUCGGUCUCACAAAACAUAUCCAGCCUUGUUUCCCAUGACUUUACAAGCUAGUUAGCUCAGGGUCCCAUAAACAUGAAGAGGGCCACUCAUUCUUUUGGUCUUGGUUCUUCUGUAAGAAUUCAAUGGAAUACCUCGCCUUCUGCCUAUUCAAACACAGCUCCAGCUUAGCUUCCCCUCUCAGACUUGUUAGAAUAUUACAGUUUUCCAUGAUUUUUUAUACCUACUCCUAAAGAGCUAACGAUUUCACAUAAUUUAAUGUUUGAUCACCUAAGAUCUCAUAUUCCAUGUGUAACAACCUUAUGUCAUCAGUUAAGCGUGUUAGCUAUUUGAUGUAAAGAACUCUGAAUUAUUUCGUUAACUCCACUUUCUGCUCAGAACUAGCUCAGUAGUAAGGACCCUUCGGGCAUUCACCAAAUACUUGCUCACUAAAAGGAAGAUGCUUGAAAAAUCCAAAUAGUACCUGCACUUGUUGCAGAUCUGCUCUGAGAGCUCCUCUCUUCAUGACGGCCCCGAGUUGAUCUUUUCUGUGAGACACUUGACUGGAGAAGCCCUGUCUCUGACAAUUGCGCUAUCAAUGAACAGCUUCCGUAUUUCUUAGGAUACUCGUGAGGACCAAAUUAAAUAAUGCAUGUGGAAGUGGUUUCAGGAAUGAAAGUCACACACACAGAGAGAGAGAGAGGCAGAGACACAGGCAGAGGGAGAAGCAGG